AUACGGAGGGUGCAAGCGUUAAUCGGAAUUACUGGGCGUAAAGCGCGCGUAGGCGGUUUGAUAAGUCGGAUGUGAAAUCCCCGGGCUCAACCGGGGAAUUGCAUUCGAUACUGUCAGGCUAGAGUGUGGUAGAGGGAAGUGGAAUUUCCGGUGUAGCGGUGAAAUGCGUAGAUAUCGGAAGGAACACCAGUGGCGAAGGUGGCUUCCUGGACCAACACUGACGCUGAGGUGCGAAAGCGUGGGGAGCAAACAGGAUUAGAAACCCUAGUAGUCC
rnacentral:rRNA from 1 species